rnacentral:lncRNA from 1 species
UCCAACAUAAUCUCGUAAUAUAAGCAUUGUCGGCCCAACUUUUUGGAUAUCUUCAAUAAAUUAAUUGAAGAUAUUUAAAGAAUACUUUUUUUUCUUCCUUCCAUAUGCCACUAUGGAGUUUUGAACUCGGAACCUCCUAGGUACCAUCUAAACACCUUAUCAUUUAUCCACCACUAUAAGCCCCAAGCCACCAUUUGAUAUCUAAAGCUUCAAUUCUUUUUCCUAUAAGUUUAUUACCAAAUCUCUUUUCUCUCAUUAAAUCUUCAUUUUUUAUAAUUUAUAACUUCUUUUUUUAUUAAAAUUUUUAUACUUAUUUAUAAAUCUAUUAAAAACAUGUUUAUUAAAUUUUAUAUGAAAUAGAUACUUUUUGAUAUCAAGUAUGCAUCUUUGAACUUAUUUUUCUUUUGUAAAAACUUAGUUUUUUAUUUCUAACAAUUACAAUACUUCUUAUUAAUAGGAUAAUAUUCUAAAUAUAUUUUUAUAAACUUCUAUAAUAAUUAAUUAACUAAU